GGACGAACGCUAGCGGCGUGCCUAAGGUAUGCAAGUCGAACGGGCGGGGCAACCCGCCAGUGGCGAACGGUUGAGUAACACGUAGACUACCUGCCUCCGAGUGGGGGAUAACGGCGGGAAACCGCCGCUAAUACCGCAUGGGGCGGGAGAGAGCCUUCUCUCCUCGCUAAAGGAGCGAUCCGCUGGGAGAUGGGUCUGCGGCCUAUCAGCUGGUUGGUGGGGUAACGGCCUACCAAGGCGACGACGGGUAGCNGGUCUGAGAGGAUGAUCAGCCAGACGGGGACUGAGACACGGCCCCGACUCCUUCGGGAGGCAGCAAUGAGGGAUCUUGCGCAAUGGGCGAAAGCCUGACGCAGCGAC
rnacentral:rRNA from 1 species